CUACAUUUUUCUUGCAUACAGAAGAAUUUCUGUGUCUGUUAUUUGACAGUUUCUCCUCUGAAGGGAAAAUGCUUCUCUUCGAGGGAGAGAGUGACCACCUUAUUCCCUCAACAAGUCGGGAGCUCCUGGAGGGUGAUUUAUUUGUGACUGCAGGAAGGAUGGUUGGUCAUUCAUUCUUGAAUGGGGGCCCAUGUCUCACUGGCCUAAGCACAGCAAUCAUCCAUGUACUUUUUGGCGGCAGUCCAGAGAUGGCAAACAUAUCCCUGUCAGACUGUGUGGAUCAGGAUGUCCGGGAUGUCUUGGCACUGUUGGAAGGAACCAAGGACCUGUCCGAAGAAGACAAAUCCCAGAUUCUUUCUGUGACACUGCCCUGGGACCUGCCUGGUGUCACAAUGAACAACAGGUGGUGGCUGAGGGAGAAAAUACUGAUCCAUGCUGUUCUUGGACGGACAACCCUGCAGGUUAAACAAAUCCGACGAGGCCUAAAAGACACGGGUGUCUGGGAGUUUUUUAGCUCCAGGCCAGAUGCUGUGGAAGUCCUAUUCCCAAGGGCCUGCAAUGCAGAUAUCACGCCACAAGUAAUGCAAAUACAUUUGUUAUAUUUAAUUACUUUUUCCCAU